GGGUGUAUAGCUCCAAUGGUAGAGCAUCUGAUUCCAAAUCAGAGGGUUGUAGGUUCGAAUCCUGCUGCGCCCGCCA
rnacentral:tRNA from 1 species